rnacentral:rRNA from 1 species
CGUAAGGUGCAAGCGUUAAUCGGAAUUACUGGGCGUAAAGCGUGCGCAGGCGGUGAUGUAAGACAGGUGUGAAAUCCCCGGGCUUAACCUGGGAACUGCAUUUGUGACUGCAUCGCUGGAGUGCGGCAGAGGGGGAUGGAAUUCCGCGUGUAGCAGUGAAAUGCGUAGAUAUGCGGAGGAACACCGAUGGCGAAGGCAAUCCCCUGGGCCUGCACUGACGCUCAUGCACGAAAGCGUGGGGAGCAAACAGGAUUAGAUACCCUGGUAGUCCACGCCCUAAACGAUGUCAACUGGUUGUUGGGUCUUCACUGACUCAGUAACGAAGCUAACGCGUGAAGUUGACCGCCUGGGGAGUACGGCCGCAAGGUUG